CAUUAGAUGACUGAAAACAAGUAAUGGUCUCUUAAACCAAUAAAUAGUAAAGUAGUGCUUACUUCUAAUGA
rnacentral:tRNA from 1 species